rnacentral:rRNA from 1 species
GAUGAACGCUGACAGAAUGCUUAACACAUGCAAGUCUUUGGCGAAGCUGUGCUCGCCCAGCCUAGCCAAGGCGGACGGGUGAGUAACGCGUAAGGAACUUGCCCUGCAGUCAGGGAUAACAGACGGAAACGACUGAUAAGACCUGGUAAAGUCAGGCGGACUCAUGUCCAGCCUGAUGAAAAGAGAUGCUGCAGGAGAGCCUUGCGUCCUAUUAGCUUGUUGGUGGGGUAACGGCCCACCAAGGCGAUGAUAGGUAGCCGGCCUGAGAGGGUGGACGGCCACAAGGGGACUGAGAUACGGCCCUUACUCCUACGGGAGGCAGCAGUGGGGAAUAUUGGACAAUGGGGGCAACCCUGAUCCAGCAAUUCUGUGUGCACGAUGAAGGUUUUCGGAUUGUAAAGUGCUUUCAGCAGGGAAGAAAAAAAUGACGGUACCUGCAGAAGAAGCGACGGCUAAAUACGUG